rnacentral:ribozyme from 1 species
UUUGACUUUUUUACUUUCUUCCUUCUCUUUUUUAAUUGCAUUUACUUUGAUCUUUACACAAACGACAAUGAGGGCGGGCCGGGA